CCUACGGGGGGCUGCAGUGGGGAAUAUUGGACAAUGGGGGCAACCCUGAUCCAGCCAUGCCGCGUGUGUGAAGAAGGCCCUCGGGUUGUAAAGCACUUUCAGUGAGGAAGAACGCCUGGUGGUUAAUACCCAUCAGGAAAGACAUCACUCACAGAAGAAGCACCGGCUAACUCCGUGCCAGCAGCCGCGGUAAUACGGAGGGUGCGAGCGUUAAUCGGAAUUACUGGGCGUAAAGCGCGCGUAGGUGGCUUGAUAAGCCGGUUGUGAAAGCCCCGGGCUCAACCUGGGAACGGCAUCCGGAACUGUCAAGCUAGAGUGCAGGAGAGGAAGGUAGAAUUCCCGGUGUAGCGGUGAAAGGCGUAGAGAUCGGGAGGAAUACCAGUGGCGAAGGCGGCCUUCUGGACUGACACUGACACUGAGGUGCGAAAGCGUGGGUAGCAAACAGGAUUAGAUACCCCGGUAGUC
rnacentral:rRNA from 1 species